GGACCAUGUCAUAUUGGAACACUGGUUACCAUACAAUCACUGAAGUUAAGUAACAUCAAGCCUGGUCAGUACUUAAAUGAGUGACUGGUUGGGAAUACCAAGUGUUGUAAG